CACCGCCCGUCACACCACGAGAGUUUGUAACACCCGAAGCCGGUGGAGUAACCAUUUGGAGCUAGCCGUCGAAGGUGGGACAAAUGAUUGGGGUGAAGUCGUAACAAGGUAGCCGUAUCGGAAGGUGCGGCUGGAUCACCUCCUUUCUAAGGA
rnacentral:rRNA from 1 species